rnacentral:lncRNA from 1 species
CGAGACUAAGAUCUAGGCCUAUAUGGUAUAUGCAUAGAAAACAAGGGAAAAUCCAAAUCAUGGUUACAUGUAGCUCGCUUUGUUCAUUCGCAAGGGCUCAUGAUCCGGGCACUGCACUGCAUGCAUGCCGGGCAUGCGGCGCGCGCAGAUCAUCUCACGUCGCUCGCGCUCGAUCAACGCAUUAUUAACGUAGGCUACACUAUACGUCAUUCUGGCCUCGCUCAUGAAUGUGCUGAAUUUAUGGCAUCAUAAAGGUAUGAAGUAUUUGAUGCCCAAUGCAAGUGCCAGCUGGGAUUCACAUUCCACCAUCGGUAAUUGGCUUUCUCACUGCCACAUCAUCCAACUGGCAAUAGUUUUGAAAAUGCCAUCAUGCAGUCCCAAACAGAACUCCCUUCAAUUUUGCUCUGCUAACCCUGCAAUCUACAUGUAGGAGAGUUGUGUGAAUUUGUUGCUUUGAGUCCUCAUUACAAAUUGAAAGUUGUGUGAAACAGUGUGAAGGAAGCCAAACUUGUUGAUUUUAAGUAUCAACAUGGUCUUUGCCUGCAGACUACCUUAUUUCAUUGUGCUAAACAUUGGAAUGCCCGCUGUCUUUUCCAUGGCCAUCUCGAGAGAUCGUCAGUGAUGCCAUUCACCUGUACACUUUGAUAAUGCAAGAAACUUCAGCAGUAAAGGAGGCAAUAUAUUUUUUAAAAGAAGACCAUUUCAUGUCGAAAGUACAGAGUCAGGUUUAUGCGUUUGCUGUUGAACAGUCGCCCUUAGUUCAGACGCCAUUAUGAAGAAGAAUAUCGCCCAACUAAAGUCGCUCUAUCUUGGGUAUUGUCAAUUCUCUUAAGGCCGCUAAUCUCGACUCGGCCACUGCUUGACAAGGAAUAGAGCCAAGUGGUGGGGCCUCGUCAAAAGGCUUAGACUGUCCAUGAUUCUCUUACUUUUAUAUUGAUGACGUUAACGUUGGAAGUGUCUUCUCGAUAAAGAUUUUGCUUAGUAUGACGUGUAAGAGAGACUGUUUUUUUUUUGGGGGGAUGGGUGCAGGAUUAGGUUUGAUUAUUUUGUAAUUUUCGUUUAAACAUUUUUUAACUGUAUAUUAAGUAUGGAUUUUCAUUUUUUUUAUUUAUAUGUGUGUUGGUGUGUGUGUGUUAUACAGUGCCUAUCAAUACAAAGUUUACACUUCAAAAAAGUCCUGGGGAUUGACAACAUGUGGAUAUUUUUUCACAUAUAUUCUUGGGUUUGUGUUUCAUCUAUCAGAUGACAGCAACAAUUUUGACAUAAUUUAACACUUGAGUGAGCACUGUCCAUUUUUGUAAAGCUUGCAGAUAUUGGUUUACGCAAAAAAUGAUAAUUUUCGUGCUGUGUCAUGGAAAAAAGCCAAAAACAAUCUGAGCGUGCGGUUCAUUUCUCAUAAAAUUAUUUUUGCAUUUUUAGCCAAUCGAAAUAAAACAGAUACAUUUUUUAACAACUUUGCCACCAAAAUCAAUAUUUUGACCCUUGGUAAGCACAUCAACUAGCUUUUUUGUGCCAGCUGGAUCUGGGGGCAUGAGUGAAUGUAAACAAAACUUUACUUCAGACAUUUCCAGUAUUUUUUUUCACUAAGUUUUUGUCAUUUAGAGUGGGCUUACAUUUCAUAUUUCAUUUAAUACUCGUUUCUUCACACUGUUCCCCAAGUUGAUAAAGAGUAACAGAAGGAAAAUAUAGCAUGUGAAUCACAGCUCUGCGUAAAUAUCAUCACGAUGGCCUCGGUGUGUGGGGAUGGGGGGGGGGGGUCGCAGUGGCGCUCUACAUGUAUGAAGUGUUUUGGGCAAGGAGGCAGGUUAAAAAGGUAAAAGGUAUCUUCAAAUAAAUCUUUCUAGCAAAAGUUCAUGUGUUUUCAUGAUUGUCGUCCACUUUUAUUCAUAUACAUGUAACUAUUUCCAAGUUCUGCGCAAAUAAUUUUUCACAAACUUUUCAAAAGUAACUGUUGCUCACUCAAGUGGAAACAUUUUUCAACAGUUAUAUCGCGAUUUGCUGAAAGAGAUCUGUACCAAUGUUUAAAUGCAGAAAACGGCUUCAGGAUAUUACAUAAUAUAAUUUUAGAGGAUUUUUUUUUACUGUUUUUGUGAUACGCACUGUAGAGUUAGUUCAUUUGACUUUUUUUCUCAUUUUUUGCAUAAUUUUAUAGUUUUGAAUCAGCAUCCAUUAGUAUCCAUGUACAAUCAGGUUAUUGUUUGGCUUUUAUUCUUAUUCUACAAUUUUUUUACUACUGGUACAAGUAAUAGUGCCUGUGUAUUGGUACCACAGAAAACCUUAAUUUGUGAGAGGUACAUGUUCAUAACUCAUGUUUUGCAUACUGUUACCAAAAGAAUGAUUUAACUUGGUUGAUCAUACAAGUAUUUACAGUACAUGUAUACCUGAUCAGUUGUUUUUCAACAUUUGAAUACAUAUUGUCCUUGAAAUCAAGUAAUCAUUUAGGCCAGUUCAUUUUAUUGAUGGUUUUAUACAUAUACACUGUAUGUAGAUCUCCACAUAUUACUUGUUGAAUUGGGAAGAGGAUGGAUUUUUAUUUGAGUGGUUUUGACAUUAAUUUGAAUUAAAAUGAUGACAAAACAACCUUUUUUACAAAAUGUAUUUGAUGUUCUCUUCCAAAUACAUUAGAAUAUGUUAAAAAUGAUUCUUCGUCAAAAAUAAUGUUUCAUAGAAAUUAAUGCAAAAAAAAAUGAAAUAGAUUAUGCAGAAGCCAAGAAUUACAAUUUUGACAAAAAAGAGUGGGGGUCAACCGUCAACUACCUUUUAGUCCCAAAUCAUUUUUUGGGUUGCACCCCCUCAAUGUUUGACCAAUAUUUCUGAAAAUGAUGUCAAAAUGCUCAGGAGCACAAGCUGCAUCUAUGGAGUUGGUCCUGUCUGUGAUCUAAAACAUCACCAUUCUAUAGCCCACCACUAGUAUUAUAUAACACAUUUUUUCCAUAACCUUGUUAAUUUGUAUUUUUUGUUAUGUUUAGCCUGAU